rnacentral:misc_RNA from 1 species
GUGGACUACACGGGUAUCUAAUCCUGUUUGCUCCCCACGCUUUCGCGUCUCAGCGUCAGUAAAUGUCCAGGUGGCCGCCUUCGCCACUGAUGUUCCUCCCGAUAUCUACGAAUUUCACCUCUACACCGGGAAUUCCGCCACCCUCUCCAUUACUCAAGACAAGCAGUUUCGGAUGCAGUUCCUAGGUUGAGCCCAGGGAUUUCACAACCGACUUGCGAGUCCGCCUACACGCGCUUUACGCCCAGUAAAUCCGAGCAACGUUCGCACCCUCUGUAUUACCGCGGCUGCUGGCACAGAGUUAGCCGGUGCUUGCUAAGGAGGUACCGUCAAGACGCAGCCAUUUCCUACUGCGCGUUUUCGUCCCUCCCCACAGAGCUUUACGACCCGAAGGCCUUCAUCA